rnacentral:rRNA from 1 species
ACUCAAAUGAAUUGACGGGGGCCCGCACAAGCAGUGGAGUAUGUGGAUUAAUUCGACGCAACGCGAAGAACCUUACCAAGGUUUGACAUCCUAAGAAUUCGGUAGAAAUACUGAAGUGCCUUUCGGGGAACUUAGAGACAGGUGGUGCAUGGUUGUCGUCAGCUCGUGUCGUGAGAUGUUGGGUUAAGUCCCGCAACGAGCGCAACCCUUACGGUUAGUUGCUACGCAAGAGCACUCUAGCCGGACUGCCGUUGACAAAACGGAGGAAGGUGGGGACGACGUCAAAUCAUCAUGCCCCUUAUAUCUUGGGCUUCACACGUACUACAAUGGCGAUUUACAACGCGCUGCGACCACGCGAGUGGAAGCGAAUCGCUUAAAAGUCGCCUCAGUUCGGAUCGCAGGCUGCAACCCGCCUGCGUGAAGUCGGAAUUGCUAGUAAUCGCGGAUCAGCAUGCCGCGGUGAAUACGUUCCCGGGCCUUGCACACACCGCCCGU